rnacentral:lncRNA from 1 species
GUCACGUUAUAUCAGUUCAGAGAAAAAUUUUCUACAUCCAGUUACAGAUAAAAUAAAUUAUACUAUGAAUAUUUAAUUAGCACGACAUUCUUCUAAUAUUUGUUAUUAGCAAGGUAUAUUUGAUAUAAUUGAUUUUGAGGAUCGCAUGCAAUGAGCUAUGGACGCUCAUUUAUCUUUGCAUUUCAAGGAGUAUCGCAACCACAUCCAUCA